UACGUAGGGGGCAAGCGUUAUCCGGAAUCAUUGGGCGUAAAGCGCGUGUAGGCGGUUCAGUAAGUCCGCUCUGAAAGCCCAGGGCUCAACCCUGGGAGGCGGGUGGAUACUACUGAACUAGAGUACGGAAGAGGAGAUUGGAAUUCCUGGUGUAGCGGUGAAAUGCGCAGAUAUCAGGAGGAACACCAACAGCGAAGGCAGAUCUCUGGGACGUAACUGACGCUGAGACGCGAAAAGCGUGGGGGAGCAAACAGG
rnacentral:rRNA from 1 species